UACGUAGGCAGCAAGCGUUGUUCGGAGUUACUGGGCGUAAAGGGUGUGUAGGCGGUUGGAUAAGUGUGGUGUGAAAUCUCCCGGCUUAACUGGGAGGGUGCGCUACAAACUGUCUGACUAGAGUGUGGGAUGGGUAAGUGGAAUUCCUGGUGUAGCGGUGAAAUGCGCAGAUAUCGGGAGGAACACCGGUGGCGAAGGCGGUUCUCUGGGCCUUACCUGACGCUGAGGAGCGAAAGCGUGGGGAGCGAACAGG
rnacentral:rRNA from 1 species